UGGCGGCAGAUCACGUGACCUCUGACCGUCCGCAGAAGAGGCUCUAAUAACAGACGCAGUCCGCCAUUUGCUUUCUACACUUUGUUUGGAUGUUUUUGGUUUUUAUUUGUUAAAACUUGGUUCCUUUUCAGCGUUUCCUGCGCGUGAGAGGCAGCUGGACGUCACAGCGCGCGUGAUGGCGGCCGACAGGCGCGAGGACAAAGACGGCGAGCUCAACGUUCUGGAGGACCUGCUGACCGAAGCUCCGGAUCAGGACGACGAGCUCUACAAUCCAGAGUCCGAGCGCGAUGUCAGCGACAAGAAAGGAAUAAAAAGGAAGAGCGAGGGCUCUGACAGCCAGGAUCUGAAGAGGCUCCGCCCCUCGUCAGGCCACACCCACACCAGGUCAUUGUCCUCAAAUAAAAGAGGCCUUGGGUCUUCGUUGUCGUCCUCUAAGAAGACGUCCAGCCCCCGUGGCCGCCACACCACCACCUACCGUCACGACUACUAUGAGGCGCGAAAGGGCCGCCGAGGGCCCCGGGAGGUCCCUCGAAGCCGUGGAGGAGAUGAUGGACGCCGCCGGGAGUCACAGAGGGGCCUGGACAGUCUGUGUCAGAAGCUUCGGCGUGACGAGCGGAGGGAAAGCCCCUCCCCCCAUGAUGAGGACAACCAAUCAGAGGAGGAAGCAGCAGCAGAGUACUGCUCAGAACAGGCGUCAGGAAGCUCCUCCCCCACUGCCUCCCAUGUAGAGGAAGAGGAAGAGGAGGAAGAUCAGGAGGAGGAGGAGGGUAUGGAGGAAGAGGAGGAGGAAGAGGAAGAAGAAGAGGAAGAAGGAGAGAAAGAAGAUGAGGAUGAGGAGGAAGAAUACGAUGAGCGUCGAGGUGGUGGCGAGGGAAACGACUAUGACACUCGCAGUGAGGCCGGAGAUUCACACUCCGCCACUUCCGUCAGUUUCUCCGAUGAUGGCGAGUCGGCACACUCAGGCUCCGCCUCCGAGGGAUCAGGCUCAGAGAAGAAGCACGAGAAGUUGUCGUCGUCGGUGCGAGCCGUUCGCAAAGGGAUGGAAAAUCCCACCAGCAGGCUGCGCUACAUCCUGAGAGAUGCUCGAUUCUUCCUCAUCAAGAGCAACAACCACGAGAACGUUUCCCUGGCUAAGGCAAAGGGUGUCUGGUCAACGCUGCCGGUCAACGAGAAGAAGCUGAACGCAGCGUUCCGCUCAGCUCGAAGUGUGAUCCUGGUCUUCUCCGUGAGGGAAAGUGGGAAGUUUCAAGGUUUUGCGCGGUUGGCAUCAGAGUCUCAUCAUGGCGGAUCUCCUAUCCACUGGGUUCUUCCUGCUGGCAUGAAUGCCAAAAUGUUGGGAGGAGUCUUCAAGAUCGACUGGCUGUGCAGGAGGGAGCUUCCUUUCAUCAAGACGUCCCACCUGUCCAACCCCUGGAACGAAAACAAGCCAGUGAAAAUCGGCCGUGACGGACAGGAAAUCCAGGCGGACGUCGGCGCUCAGCUCUGCGCUCUGUUCCCUCUGGAUGAGAACGUGGACGUCCACCAGGUGGCUCGCCGCGUUCGUCACAAGCGCCGGACGCCGUCAGAGCCGCGGCCUCGAGGCCGACCGCCACAGCGUGAACCAGGAAGGUUAGCGAAUCAUCAAGCUCCUCCCCCCGCUUCCUGUUCUUCUUCUUCUUCUCCUGCUGCAACCACGGCACCAGAUGAUGGAGGCCCAGCGGCUAGCGGGCCGUUGUUGUUGUUUUUUCCUGUCUGGAGCAUCCACCGGAGCGACGGCCCGCUCUGCGGCGGGUUGACGUCUGGGCAGGAAGUAGAAGCCGUCUGACGGCUGGCGUCAGAUUGAGUUUGAUUCAAGAGUAGAGUUUGUUUCUGAGGAGCCGAGGAAGAAGAGGUCUCUCCUCUUGUUGUUCACGUCUCUGAAGCUCUUUGUCUUUGCAGGAGUUCAAACUGCGGGUAAAGCGGUAGUUGGACUGGCUGACCCGGUCAGAGUACGCAGAAAGGACCCUCAUUGGUCGGACUGACGGAGGAGGGGGCGGGGCCAGGGAGGUAGAGCUAAUGCAGAAAGAGAAGGGGAGGGACUGAGCUUCCAGCGGACUGUCUGAUGUUUGAGCUGCUGGUGGGUGGGGCUGGGGGCGGGGCCUCAGGACUGAGGUGUGCUGGGGCGGGGCUUCCUCACUGGAAAAAGGUAAAUUACACAGAUGAAGGACUAAAGAUUAAAAUCCUGGGGACUGAUGGGAAAAUGUGCCCCCCCUCCUUACUACCCACCCCCCCACUCACACACACUUGCAUACACACACACACGAAAGGACAGUGCUCUCCCCCCUCCUCCACCAGCGUGCACACACACUGAAACAGGACUGAGAGCCUAUUGGUCAGGACGGACUGCUGGUAUCUGAGGUGUGUGUCGCACCAUCUGAUGGACUGAAUGUAGAGGUGAGUGAGGAGGAGGAGGAGGAGGAAGAAUGGACAGAGCAAUGGACUGUUGGUCAGCGGGGGGGUUGGGCUCACGGGGGCGGGACUGUGUGUUUGAUUGACAGGACUGCACCAUCAUCAUCACCUUCAUCACCCCUCACCCUGUCAGUCAGAGGGUUUAUUUAAUGGACUGAUGAGGAGGAAAACUGUUGUUAGCGGCGUCGCCCUGAGGAGUACGACCUCCACGGCAGGAAGCGACCACGAGCCGACGGUCCGCCAGACUUCAGUCAGCGUGCAGGGUUCAUCCAGGACCCACGAAACCAGCCGGUGGACAGGUGAGA